rnacentral:rRNA from 1 species
UACGGAGGGGGCAAGCGUUGUUCGGAAUUACUGGGCGUAAAGGGCGCGUAGGCGGUUUGCUAAGUUGGAUGUGAAAACUCUGGGCUUAACCCAGAGCCUGCAUCCAAAACUGGCAAACUUGAGUACUGGAGGGGAAAGCGGAAUUCCUGGUGUAGCGGUGAAAUGCGUAGAUAUCAGGAGGAACACCGGUGGCGAAGGCGGCUUUCUGGACAGUAACUGACGCUGAUGCGCGAAAGCUAGGGGAGCAAACAGG